rnacentral:rRNA from 1 species
UACAGAGGUCCCAAGCGUUGUUCGGAUUCAUUGGGCGUAAAGGGUGUGCAGGUGGCGCCGUAAGUCGGGUGUGAAAUCUCGGGGCUUAACUCCGAAACUGCAUUCGAUACUGCCGUGCUGGAGUGUGGGAGAGGUGCGUGGAAUUCCACGUGUAGCAGUGAAAUGCGUAGAGAUGUGGAGGAACACCGAUGGCGAAGGCAGCCCCCUGGGUCAAGAUUGACGCUCAUGCACGAAAGCGUGGGGAGCAAACAGG